UCUGGCUUGCAUGGACACAUGCA
rnacentral:piRNA from 1 species